GAUGAACGCUGGCGGCGUGCCUACUACAUGCAAGUCGAGCGAACAGACGAGGAGCUUGCUCCUCUGACGUUAGCGGCGGACGGGUGAGUAACACGUGGAUAACCUCCCUAUAAGACUGGGAUAACUUCGGGAAACCGGAGCUAAUACCGGAUAAUAUAUUGAACCGCAUGGUUCAAUAGUGAAAGACGGUUUUGCUGUCACUUAUAGAUGGAUCCGCGCCGCAUUAGCUAGUUGGUAAGGUAACAGCUUACCAAGGCAACGAUGCGUAGCCGACCUGAGAGAGUGAUCGGCCACACUGGAACUGAGACACGGUCCAGACUCCUACGGGAGGCAGCAGUAUGGUAUCGGCCGCAAUGGGCGAAAGCUUGACGGAGCAACGCCGCGUGAGUGAUGAAGGUCUUCGGAUCGUAAAACUCUGUUAUUAGGGAAGAACAAAUUUGUAAGUAACUAUGCACGUCUUGACGGUACCUAAUCAGAAAGCCACGGCUAACUACGUG
rnacentral:rRNA from 1 species